UGGGGAAUAUUGGGCAAUGGGGGAAACCCUGACCCAGCAACGCCGCGUGAGGGAAGAAGGUUUUCGGAUUGUAAACCUCUGUCCUAAAGGACGAAAAAAAUGACGGUACUUUAGGAGGAAGCCCCGGCUAACUACGUGCCAGCAGCCGCGGUAAUACGUAGGGGGCGAGCGUUGUCCGGAAUUAUUGGGCGUAAAGGGUGCGUAGGCGGCCAAAUAAGUCAGAUGUGAAAUACCGGGGCUUAACUCCGGGGCUGCAUUUGAAACUAUAUGGCUGGAGUACAGGAGAGGGAAGCGGAAUUCCUAGUGUAGCGGUGAAAUGCACAGAUAUUAGGAGGAACACCAGUGGCGAAGGCGGCUUUCUGGACUGUAACUGACGCUGAGGCACGAAAGCGUGGGGAGCAAACA
rnacentral:rRNA from 1 species